AUGGCGGGGGACAGCAGACCUCCGCCGUGGUGGGGUUCGAGGAGAUUGUGGAAGCGUUUCCCUGAUGAGGGAAUUUUUUUAGGAAUGAAGACGCCAGUGGUGGGAGAGCCCUCUGCAGAUGGUGGCUUCCAGUCCGCCUUUCCCUGCAUGCUCCAGCUUCAUCCACAUCCCCUGAUGUCCAACAGCUAUCAGCCAUGGCCUUACAGCUUCAGGAGCGUUCCUCCUCCCUGCCAUGAUGGCUGUCCUGCUCACACCAGCACCACGCCAAGACCCUGA
rnacentral:lncRNA from 1 species